rnacentral:tRNA from 1 species
AUUUUUCUAGUACCAAAUGUUAGUAUAAGUGACUUCCAAUCACCCGGUCUUGGUUAGAACCCAAGGAAAAAUA